ACACCGCUCCCUACAGCUUGUACUCUGCCUCUGACUCUCUUCCAAGAACAAUUUGGCAAGUUCUAAUCUACAUCUUGCAAAAAAAAAACAAAAAACAAAAAACAGAGAGGUAGGAGGGCCACAGCACCUGGGGUCCCAGAAGGCAGACUGACCUAUUCCUACAGCAGGGAGACAAGGUCUCAUUCUGUUGCCCAGGCUGGAGUGCAGUGGUGCAAUCACGGUUCACUGCAACCUGGAACUCCAGGGUUCAAGCAAUCCUCCUGCCUCAGCCUGCCGAGUAGCUGUGACAACAGGUGCGAGCCACCAUGCCCAGCUAAGAUUUCACCAUGUUGCCCAGCUGGUCUUGAACUCCUGGCCUCAAGCAAUUCUCCUGCUUUAGGCUCCCAAGUUGCUGGAAUUACAGGGCUGCACGGAGCCUGCUGAGUCUCCAACCCACCUCGCUCACCGCUCUGACCACUGACAGGCAGAGCAAAGGAUGCGGGAGUUGCCUCUGCUGCCCAUCUAAGGGGACGUAGGCAGAGAAGCAAAGGCCUCUGCUCUCCCUCCAUCCAUCCCGGUGUGCUGGCCCCAACGGAACAGGAGUCCUUCAACUAUUGCCUGCCAGAGACCCAAUUGCAGGGACUGUAGUCUGCAUCUGGAUGAGCUGGGCUGUAGAUUGAAGUCUCAGAAGCAGGGAAGGUUGGAAGGGGUAGGGUCCCAGAGCCCAUGGAGUUAUUGCUGAGAAGAUAUGCAGGGGACACAUUCCCCAGGGGCAGAGUAGAAGCCCUGGGCCUGGAAUCCCCGGGCGCUCUGUGAAGGGGCGGGGCAGAUGGGGACUCCUCGUGGAAGCCCCUGGGAAGAAAUUAACCACGGAAGGGCAUAGCCUGCCUGACGUCAACGCUGGGCUCACCAGCUCCUUGCUUUGUAUCUCCAGUUGCUAAGAGACCUUCAGACUGGGAUCAGGUGGGAUAAGGAAGCAAGGUUUUUGUUAAAGGAGUGAAAGGAGUCCAUGAAGAAUGAUGACAAAGUGCUGCAAACCUUCCCAGGUCCCAAGACGACUGAAGACCACUGCCCGUGCUCUUACCCUACGCAUCCCUAAAUCAGGGGAGGGGGCUGGUCUCGGGCAACAAGCAGCCUCCUAGGAGCAGAAGGUGAUGGAGGGCCACGGGGGCAGGGAGGAGCAGAUGGCCAUGUGGCUCAGCCCCUGCCUGGGAAAGCGAGUCCACAGUUCACUAACAAACACAAUACCAUCCACAAACAAGUAGCCACAAAGACCACAGUUAGCAAACACACACAGUCACACACACACACACACACACACACAUCACGGGAGGUGGGCAGGACCGCAGGCUGCAGUGGGGAGGCAAGUGUUAGUUGCAUCAUCAGGUGGAGGAAUGGUGUUAGAGGGGAUAGGGUGGGGGACACACAAGUUCUUGGCUUCUCCUGGGGAAAGGGCUGUUGCUGAAGUGGCCGGUUUUCUUAAGCAUCGACAUUUGCAUCCAAAGGUUCAAGCAGCCGCCUCAGGUUCCAGAGGCUGAGGAGGAGGAUAAUUUAAAUUAAAAACACUUCGGCUGCCUCUGGUAUCCUUAUCUGCUUCUCUCCCUUCCUUGAGCACCUGCCCACUGAAAUUCCCGGUAUGACAGCCUCGUCUGAGACGCAGAGAAAGGAGACAAAGACACAGGGGAGGGGUGAACCUCAGAAGAAGCCUCUCCCAGGUGGGCUGGAGCCUGGCAGACAUGGAAAGGAAAUUGUUAAACCCAGGACCUCCCCAGUGGUUGCUCACAGUCCUGAGCCUUAGGAUAAAAGGUUUCUGAGAAAGAACUAGUUUGGGAAAAAAAAAAUGAAAAGACAUUUCAUUUCCAGGCUGCCUCCUCUGAGCCUUCCCAGAUUCUCAGUCUGUGAUGAAAUAGACAGAACACCAAGCUACCAGGAAGGGCACCUGCCUCCUAGAUCGGAAUCUUCGUCCAUUCGCACUUAGGUGAUCACUUGCCUUCGAGAGCCCCAUCCAGAAGACGGGAGUAAUGAGCCCUGCUCUGCCCAUCACGGGCCGCUAUGAGGAUGCAAAAGCACUUAGGAAAGAAUUUAAAUGCUACACAGGCACACGAUAUUGUUACGCACAGUCAAAGCUGGUGCAUCGGGCACUUCAUCAUCCAGAAACCUCUUUUACCUUACAAUCUGCUGCAAAAACAAACAGUUGGUCAAGAGAAAGAAAGCUACACAAACUGGUUCCCAAAUAUCUAACCUUGCCUCACAGACCUCAGUCUCCACAAAGGAAUUCCAGAGGAGCAGGGCCC
rnacentral:lncRNA from 1 species